GUUCAAUAUAUACAGGUUAAGGGUGCGUUCGUAAAUUAACUUUGGCUAUGUACGAUUUCAGAGCACUCUCGUCUGUGUGCAAGAACGCUGAAUAACGGAUGCAUUUACAAACGUGCAACACGUUGAAUAUGACCAUUGUCAGUAAACGUCGGCAAAAAACGUAAUUAAAUUGUUACCAGCAGCACACUUACAGUCACCAAACGAUAUGGAUAACAUGAAAACAGCCUAACCAGCUCUGCUAGGGCGAGUAAAAUGGUCAGAAUGAGGUGUUCUCUCAUUUGUGUCUGGAAGCAGCUAGCCAACUAGCCACCAUCAGCCAGUUAGCUGGGUGCUUGACUGCCGUUGUGAGGUCAGGACGCUCGGAUCAACCCUACUCCUCCGUCAGAGCGUUCAAUGUGGCUCUGAACGCUCCGAGAGCGAAACGCUCUGAAUUUACGAACACACCACCUAGGUUCCUUGCGGAUCAACUUCAUACUCCCCCAUCAGCUCUGGGACGCACAAUAGUGUUGCCCAUUAAGUCCAUGCGGGAUCAGAAAAAGGAGAAGGGAUCAUGUCAAAUGUCUCAACCUCGGUGAUAGCUCAGCCAUCACCAUCUGAUUAUAUACAGAUGUUUCAAGACAUGUUGAGUCAAAGCUGAUCUACUCUAACAGCUGACUGCAGUUAUUGUCUUUUCUGUGCAGUUUUAUUUCAUAGAGAAUACAUCUAAAUGUUACAUGAAAAAAUGCCCAAAUAGCUGGUGGAUUAGAUUUUUUUUGUUUUGUUGAUCAACCUCACAUGCUGCAGAGUAGACUGGAUUUAUCUGAGUGCUAACCUCUAUUCAUGGGUAUGCUGAUGAGAAUAUAAGGAUGGAAUACAUGUCAACAACUCCGACUCAAUCAAGACUGGACAUAGAAUACAACUAGGGUCCUAUCUGGUGUCAAACAUUAAGCCCUCAUGGAUGGUAGGGCUUUCUGCUUCAGAUUAAGCAAAGCUCUGAGAUCCACAAACAAGAGAUGACAAUCUGGCUGUAAAGACUUGAAGAUCAUUUGGAGCCCUAUAACACAUUUACCAAGUUAUUGUUGCUUCUGCCUCUGUUAUUUGUCAAUAAAUCUAGAUGACUUUGA